AGUGAUAUUUUCACCAUUGUGCCCAUGGAGGGAGAUAUCUUGCCAAAUUCUUCACUUGAAAUCAAGGUGAUCUUUAAGCCCAAAGAAGCCAGAGUCUACCAAGAGGCAGCCUACUGUGACAUCUCAGGCUGUGAGACCAGGCUGCCCCUGUGCAUCAGCGGGGAAGGCGUCGGGCCCCAGGUGGAACUCAGCUGCGACCAGGUG